rnacentral:rRNA from 1 species
CCCUUAGAUGUUCUGGGCUGCACGCGCGCUACACUGAUGCGCUCAACGAGUUUUAACCUUGCCUGGAAAGGUUGGGUAAUCUUUUUAAAACGCAUCGUGAUGGGGAUAGAUUAUUGCAAUUAUUAAUCUUCAACGAGGAAUUCCUAGUAAGCGCGAGUCAUCAGCUCGUGCUGAUUACGUCCCUGCCCUUUGUACACACCGCCCGUCGCUCCUACCGAUUGAGCGAUCCGGUGAAUAAUUCGGACUGCGGCAUUGACCGGUUCCCGAUCGUUGCUGCGGAAAGUUUAGUGAACCUUAUCACUUAGAGGAAGGAGAAGUCGUAACA